AUAUGAAUCACCUGGGGAUUUUGUUAAAAUGCAGAUUCUGAUUCAGUGGGUUUGGAAUAAACUUUAAGAUGCUGUAUUUUUAUAAGUACACAGGUGACCAUGGU
rnacentral:miRNA from 1 species